AUCUAAAGAGUUUCUCAUUGUGCAUCUCCCUGCAUUCUGAAUUAACUCCAGUUUCGCUUAACGGACAAACAAGCGUCUGCCUCGAGUCCGCUGCGGAGCUGGUGUGCUGGCUGCUCGACACCUCUUGCAUGAAUCACUGACUCUACCCUUUUUUUCCAUUUGCCAUUUCUGGUCAUUUUUCCCUGUUCUGCUGAAUCCCAAGUGCCCCUGAAUGCAGCCCUUUGGUUUUGGGAUGUGGAGAGCCGUAUGUGCAGCCCCACUUCUCUAAGACGGCACUCGACUGGGCAGUGAAGCACAGCAAUCUUGAGAUGGCAGAGAUGGUCGCCAAAGCAGGCGUCGAUGUCAAUGCUAAAUCGUUUGGCUGAUGAGUAUUUUCAUCUGAAGUUGUCUUGUGGACUUUAGAAGACCAGACUUUCAGACAACCGAGAUGUACAACAGGUACAUCUGUUUGCAGUUACCCAGCUCAAAACCAAAAGCUUCUCAAAGCCCAGCAUGGAGCAGAGGAGCCGAGCCCCUCGCCUCUCACCCAGCACAGCCCUUCAGCACGUGCCGCUCCUUGAGCCUACGUGCGGUCCUGUUGACACCGCAGCGACUCAGCACCUCGCACACCUGAACUUUCAGUCUCACCGUGCAACUGGAAGCAGGCCUCUGCUCACACUCCUUUUACAACCUCCUCUGUCACGUUUGGGUGGUGCAUCACUGCGUGGGACACGGCGCUGGCAGGGAGCUCCGUGCUUUUCCUUUCCCCACGGAAGCAUAGGAGCUCCUGUGUGGUGCUGGGAAGAAAUGAUGUAUGGAGCAGCCAUCUCAUUUCCAGCCUGCGAUCUCUGGGCUUGACUUAGAAGUAAUGUCACUUCUGCCUCCAUGGCGCUGGAGAUGCCGGAGUUAUGGUCUUCCCACUCACGAGUGAACCUGGCUUCCUAUGCUCCCACUCUGCCUCAGGUUUUAAUGAGUCUUCGGCCUCCCCAUCCUGCUCCAACUCAAAUCCGGACCAUGAGAAGACUGCUGUAGGGGAAACGCUGGAUUUUUCCCUGUUGACAUUCUUUGGGCCAAGGUCUUACCUGGUGCAUGAAGAGGGAGGCAGCAACAGCCUUACCUUCUCUCUACCGUGCCAGCAAACUACUUAAAGAGAUAUUUCUUGAUUACUUGGUAUCAAACACAGAAAUUGGAGCUGAGAAUUUUUCCAUGGAAAACAUCCUGUAGCUUGUCUGGCUGGCUCCUGCUGCAGUGCCAACCCACUGGCUCAGUAUGAACUUAAAGGAUCCUUGCAAAAACACUCUGUGCUAAGCAGCAUAGCACAGGUCACUUCCAAGAGCUGCUUCCUCUCAAACAGCACCAGGAGCUUAUCCUUACGUACCCUAGUGGUCUCAUGCUUUCAGCAAGCUGUGGCUUACACCCUGCAUACCUCCUCAUCGCUGUUAUCACCAAUGGUUUCCUCAAUGGAUAUAAUCAUGCACAUUACAGCAGUUGCCAAAACCCUCUGGCACCAGAAGCACUCUUGGAAUGAGAGCCUGAAGGCAUGCGAGGGCCUGAGCAGCUGUAGCUGUGGUGGGGAACUUAACUCAUUUCCAUGAUGGUUUCAUCCUGGCUCAUUCCAGCCCCACCAGUGCCCAUCUGCCAGGACUGUUGAUGCCUCCCUUCUGUAACUCCGUCGAGCAAGACAGUUCUGUGUCCUUCGUGUUUUCUGUGAAACCAUUUCCAGCAGCAAACAACAGUGUGUGCUGAUUAAAAUUUAAGAGUUAUCUCAACGAGUUGAAGAUUCCUUCACCAGCUCACCUUGGCUCAGGUGUCCCCCUGGCUGCCAACAGCCUUUAACAUGCAUCAAGGGACAGAACGUGGCCAGCAAAUGAAGCCAUUCCCAGGGGGGCCACCAGAGGCUAUCUAUCCUGUCCUCUCCUCCUCCAAGGAUGACCAGAUGGCAGGCACCUCUCAUCCUUAAAUGCAGAGAGAAGAAGAAUGCAGAAGAGGGAAAAGAGACCUUAACUGGGUGCUGCAUUCCCACCGCGUCCUGGAUCAACCCAUCCUCAUAACCAACACAGGUCUGUAAGCCAAAUUCACCAGUUGUUUAACUGAGCAGCAGGUUUCUUAACCUCCGCGUUCAACAGCGAUUUGAACGUGUGCAAUCCCUUAUCAAACGAGCAGACCACAAGAGGAAUGCAUCCGUUUCGUGAUGAUUUCCUUUGCAUGGUCUGAGUCUUCGGCAGGCUGCGUAACGAAGACGUGUGUG